rnacentral:rRNA from 1 species
AUUGAACGCUGGCGGCAGGCCUAACACAUGCAAGUCGAGCGGUAGAGAGAAGCUUGCUUCUCUUGAGAGCGGCGGACGGGUGAGUAAUGCCUAGGAAUCUGCCUAGUGGUGGGGGAUAACGUUCGGAAACGGACGCUAAUACCGCAUACGUCCUACGGGAGAAAGCGGGGGAUCUUCGGACCUCGCGCCAUUAGAUGAGCCUAGGUCGGAUUAGCUAGUUGGUGAGGUAAUGGCUCACCAAGGCGACGAUCCGUAACUGGUCUGAGAGGAUGAUCAGUCACACUGGAACUGAGACACGGUCCAGACUCCUACGGGAGGCAGCAGUGGGGAAUAUUGGACAAUGGGCGAAAGCCUGAUCCAGCCAUGCCGCGUGUGUGAAGAAGGUCUUCGGAUUGUAAAGCACUUUAAGUUGGGAGGAAGGGUAGUAACCUAAUACGUUGCUACUUUGACGUUACCGACAGAAUAAGCACCGGCUAACUUCGUGCCAGCCGCCGCAGUAAUAC